UACGUAGGUGGCAAGCGUUGUCCGGAUUUACUGGGCGUAAAGGAUGCGUAGGCGGAUGUUUAAGUGAGAUGUGAAAUACCCGGGCUCAACUUGGGUGCUGCAUUUCAAACUGGAUAUCUAGAGUGCAGGAGAGGAAAGUGGAAUUCCUAGUGUAGCGGUGAAAUGCGUAGAGAUUAGGAAGAACAUCAGUGGCGAAGGCGACUUUCUGGACUGUAACUGACGCUGAGGCAUGAAAGCGUGGGGAGCAAACAGG
rnacentral:rRNA from 1 species